GAGUGUAAAUAUUGACAGAUUGAGAGCUCUUUCUUGAUUCGGUGGGUGGUGGUGCAUGGCCGUUCUUAGUUGGUGGAGCGAUUUGUCUGGUUAAUUCCGAUAACGAACGAGACUCUAGCCUGCUAAAUAGUCCGCCGAUCGUCUUGCGUCGGCGCAGACUUCUUAGAGGGACAAGCGGCGUUUAGUCGCACGAGAUUGAGCAAUAUUAUUCAUUUAAGUCGU
rnacentral:ncRNA from 1 species